rnacentral:lncRNA from 1 species
UGGGUCAGUGUGGGUCAAUGUGGGUCACCGUGGGUCGCCGCGGGUCCCUGAGGGGGUCCCUGAUCCGGGUUCCGCCGCCCCCUCCCCGCAGGCGACUUCGCGGCUCUGCUGCACGCGGGGCUGAGCGUGCGCCGGGCGCUGCUGCUGAACGCGCUGAGCGCGCUGCCCGCAUUCCUGGGGCUCUACCUCGGCCUCGCCAUCGCCACCGGCGCCGCCUUCCAGGCCUGGAUCUUCACCGUCGCCACCGGCUUCUUCCUCUACGUCGCCCUCUGCGACAUGCUGCCGGCGAUGCUGCGUGUGCGGGACCCGCGGCCGUGGCUGCUGUUCGCCCUGCACAACGUGGGGCUCCUGGGGGGCUGGGGGCUGCUGCUGCUGCUGGCGCUCUACGAGGAGAGCAUCGAGCUCUGAGCACCCCACGGACAGACCCACGGACACGGCCCCACGGACGGACCCACGGACACGGACACGGCCCCACGGACGCGUGGACACGCGGAUAUCUGGAUGUGAACCCCCCCCCCCCCAUUGUGUGCUCCCCCCACCCAGGGUGGGUGAAGGGCGCCCCAAAUAAAGCUGCAGAGGGAUGGGGUGGCACCUCUGUGGGGCUGGGGGGCGGGGGGAGGUUGUGGGGCAGCGCUGGGGGGCAGGGGGGUCUGUGGGGCAGAGGAGCGUUGUGGGGAACAGGGGUGCUAUAGGGCACAGGGAUGCUAUGGGGCACAGGGUGCUAUGGGGCUGAGGAGCUCUGUGGGGUAGAGGAACCCUGUGGGGCACAAGAGAUCUAUGGGGCAGAGGAGUGCUAUGGGGCAGAGGAGUGCUAUGGGGCAUGGGGUGCUAUGGGGCAGAGGAGCCCUGUGGGGCAGAGGAGCUCCAUGGGGCACAGAGGUGCUAUGGGGCACAGGGGUGCUAUAGGGCACAGGGUCCUAUGGGGUGGAGGAGCUCCAUGGGGCAGAGUAGUGCUAUGGGGCACAGGAGCGCUAUGGGGCACAGGGGUGCUAUGGGGUCGAGGAGCUCUAUGGGGUAGAGGAACCCUGUGGGGCACAAAAGAUCUAUGGGGCAGAGGAGCUCUAUGGGGCAC